rnacentral:rRNA from 1 species
AUUGAACGCUGGCGGCAUGCCUUACACAUGCAAGUCGAACGGCAGCAUGGAAGAGCUUGCUCUUCUGAUGGCGAGUGGCGAACGGGUGAGUAAAGCAUCGGAACGUACCGUGUAGUGGGGGAUAACGUAGCGAAAGUUACGCUAAUACCGCAUACGCACUGAGGUGGAAAGCAGGGGAUCGCAAGACCUUGCGCUAUACGAGCGGCCGAUGUCAGAUUAGCUAGUUGGUAGGGUAAAGGCCUACCAAGGCGACGAUCUGUAGCGGGUCUGAGAGGAUGAUCCGCCACACUGGGACUGAGACACGGCCCAGACUCCUACGGGAGGCAGCAGUGGGGAAUUUUGGACAAUGGGCGCAAGCCUGAUCCAGCAAUGCCGCGUGCAGGAAGAAGGCCUUCGGGUUGGUAAACUUAGCUUUGUUACGGAAGAAAUACGCACAGGCUAAUACUCUGUGUGGAGUGACGGUACCAAGCAUAAGAAGCACCGG